rnacentral:rRNA from 1 species
GACGAACGCUGGCGGCGUGCUUAACACAUGCAAGUCGAACGGAAAGGCCCUGCUUUUGUGGGGUGCUCGAGUGGCGAACGGGUGAGUAACACGUGAGUAACCUGCCCUUGACUUUGGGAUAACUUCAGGAAACUGGGGCUAAUCCCGGAUAGGAGCUCCUGCUGCAUGGUGGGGGUUGGAAAGUUUCGGCGGUUGGGGAUGGACUCGCGGCUUAUCAGCUUGUUGGUGGGGUAGUGGCUUACCAAGGCUUUGACGGGUCGCCGGCCUGCGAGGGUGAACGGCCACAUUGGGACUGAGAUACGGCCCAGACUCCUACGGGAGGCAGCAGUGGGGAAUAUUGCACAAUGGGCGGAAGCCUGAUGCAGCAACGCCGCGUGCGGGAUGACGGCCUUCGGGUUGUAAACCGCUUUCGCCUGUGACGAAGCGUGAGUGACGGUAAUGGGUAAAGAAGCACCGGCUAACUACGUG